UAGUCAGAGUAUCUCAUAUAUAUAUAUAAAGAGAGAGAAGGAGGGUGAGAGACAGGUUGUGUGGAGAAAUUUGCUUUUCAGUCACAUGGUUGAGUCCCACUGCAUGACACCUUGGGCAAGUGUUUUCUACAAUAGCCUCAUGCUAACCAAAGCCUUGUGUGUUGAUUUGGUUGAUGGAAUUUGAAAGAAGGAGCCUUUCAGACACACACGCACACACACAUCUUUAUAUAUAUAUGUGUGUCUAUAUGUGCAUACAUAUUUGAAUCUGUGUGGAAAUUGUAAAUGAGCGUUACCAUCUUACAUGUGGUGUAAUUUGUUUGUAAUCUUUUGUGUAAACAUGUUCAGCCAUGAGGAAAUAUUACCUUACCUGAAAGUACCAUGCUUUCACGUGUUAGGAAGGGUCUUUGGCUAUAGAAAAUCUGCCUCAAUGAAUUAUAGUUGGCUUAUGCAAGAAUAGAAAAGUGGAUGGUAAAAUGAUGAUGAUGAGUAUGAUAUAAAUGACUCAGUAAGAAAGUCCUUUUAAUAAUAAUGAAAUUAUUGUAUACAGUGCUCAGGUGCAGCUUAAUGAUGUGAGAUGAGAGAAACAAGAAACAUUUCAAGAUAUUCUCCAUGAUUCUUUCACACAGAAUUGCAGGAAGCUAAAUGUAAAUCCAGAAAUUAAAAAAAAUUUUGCCAUGAUCUUGAGUAAGUUAAUGAAUAAUAAUGAAAAGAAUUCAUCAAUGAUUGUAAUGUUUACAUUGUAUCGUAUGAAAAACAUAUCUCUGUAUUUGUUGGUGAAAACAAUUUAGCACAGAACUGAAAUGAAAAUAUAAUUUUAAGGUAUACAAAAAAAAAAAAGCAAGAAAUUCAGAAAUACAUUUUCCAUUGCCAAAUCCCAGGUCAACCCUGAUGAAGCAUUUGAAUUAUCAGUGCUGUCAUUCCAACUGUGACAAUCAAGUUAAUUUUGUUUCUAAAUUAUAUUAAGCAGAAUUUUGGAAUAGUAAUUAUUCUCCUUCAUUAUUUUACUAUCCUUGUGUUUCAUACAACAAAACUUGUGAUUCUGAAAAUAUGUUUUGUUUUCACCAAAAUUUCAAUAUUAUAUAUUUGUGUUUCUUACUUCUGUGUCUUUUUCUUUUUCAUGAGGUAUAGGAUUCGAAACCUUCACCACAUGAUUGUGAGAUUGUGGUUUCAAUUCCUGGACCGGGUGGUGCAUUGUGUUCUUAAGCAAAACACUUUAUCUCAUCUCACAUUGUUCUGUAAUCACUUCGACACCUGACGAGUGGUACACCAUGCACCUGUUCAGGGCAACAUCAAUUUGAUGUAGGGAGGGAAUUAAUGUACAGCACAAGCAUUUAAUCACUAUAAACAAAUAAUUUGUGCAGGUUGUUCAG